rnacentral:rRNA from 1 species
UCGAACGAUGAAGCCCUUUCGGGGUGGAUUAGUGGCGAACGGGUGAGUAACACGUGGGCAAUCUGCCCUUCACUCUGGGACAAGCCCUGGAAACGGGGUCUAAUACCGGAUAAUACUUUCCUCCUCCUGGAGGAAGGUUGAAAGCUCCGGCGGUGAAGGAUGAGCCCGCGGCCUAUCAGCUAGUUGGUGGGGUAAUGGCCUACCAAGGCGACGACGGGUAGCCGGCCUGAGAGGGCGACCGGCCACACUGGGACUGAGACACGGCCCAGACUCNUACGGGAGGCAGCAGUGGGGAAUAUUGCACAAUGGGCGAAAGCCUGAUGCAGCGACGCCGCGUGAGGGAUGACGGCCUUCGGGUUGUAAACCUCUUUCAGCAGGGAAGAAGCGAAAGUGACGGUACCUGCAGAAGAAGCGCCGGCUAACUACGUGCCAGCAGCCGCGGUAAUACGUAGGGCGCAAGCGUUGUCCGGAAUUAUUGGGCGUAAAGAGCUCGUAGGCGGCUUGUCACGUCGGUUGUGAAAGCCCGGGGCUUAACCCCGGGUCUGCAGUCGAUACGGGCAGGCUAGAGUGUGGUAGGGGAGAUCGGAAUUCCUGGUGUAGCGGUGAAAUGCGCAGAUAUCAGGAGGAACACCGGUGGCGAAGGCGGAUCUCUGGGCCAUUACUGACGCUGAGGAGCGAAAGCGUGGGGAGCGAACAGGAUUAGAUACCCUGGUAGUCCACGCCGUAAACGUUGGGAACUAGGUGUUGGCGACAUUCCACGUCGUCGGUGCCGCAGCUAACGCAUUAAGUUCCCCGCCUGGGGAGUACGGCCGCAAGGCUAAAACUCAAAGGAAUUGACGGGGGCCCGCACAAGCAGCGGAGCAUGUGGCUUAAUUCGACGCAACGCGAAGAACCUUACCAAGGCUUGACAUACACCGGAAAGCAUCAGAGAUGGUGCCCCCCUUGUGGUCGGUGUACAGGUGGUGCAUGGCUGUCGUCAGCUCGUGUCGUGAGAUGUUGGGUUAAGUCCCGCAACGAGCGCAACCCUUGUUCUGUGUUGCCAGCAUGCCCUUCGGGGUGAUGGGGACUCACAGGAGACUGCCGGGGUCAACUCGGAGGAAGGUGGGGACGACGUCAAGUCAUCAUGCCCCUUAUGUCUUGGGCUGCACACGUGCUACAAUGGCUGGUACAAUGAGCUGCGAUGCCGCGAGGCGGAGCGAAUCUCAAAAAGCCGGUCUCAGUUCGGAUUGGGGUCUGCAACUCGACCCCAUGAAGUCGGAGUUGCUAGUAAUCGCAGAUCAGCAUUGCUGCGGUGAAUACGUUCCCGGGCCUUGUACACACCGCCCGUCACGUCACGAAAGUCGGUAACACCCGAAGCCGGUGUCCCAACCCCUUGUGG